GCAUCGAUGAAGAACGCUGCGAACUGCGAUACGUAAUGCGAAUUGCAGGAUUCAGUGAGUCAUCGAAAUUUUGAACGCAUAUUGCACUUCCGGGUUAGUCCUGGGAGUAUGCCUGUAUCAGUGUCCGU
rnacentral:rRNA from 1 species